AUAGGAUGCCUGCUUUUAAGCCGUUGUCAGUGCUACUCUCACUGUUACAGUGUACUUUGCAAGGCUUGUAGUGACUAGUCCUAGACGAGGAACUUUGUAGUCGACUCAUACUUCCUUAUCUUUACAUUUCCACCCCCAAGUUUAAGAAGAAAGUUACUGUUCAUUCCUUGUUGGAGAAAGUCUGUGCUUUUUUGAAAGCUGCUGCUCAUUCUGAAAGUUCACUCACUUCUAACUGCUGCAGAAAUAAUAAUGUGGGUGCUCUAGUUAUUAAAUAUACUCCAAUCUUUGAAAGAAAGCAGCCUGUUCAUUGGAGUAUAAUGACCAUGCACAUGUGCUUGGGAACAAGGUGUUGGGAAGGAGAAUUCACACUGAGGUUGCUGGGUUUGUGCCAGUUGAAGAUGUCUGAAAAAUUGAUUAAAAACUAUUAAAGUGUGAGUUAGAAGAGGGUGACAGGCUUGUUUUACUCUAGUAUAUGUAUAUAAAUAUAACUUUUCUCCCUUCCUUUUAGCUUCCCUUACUGUUCAUUAGUGUUUGGAGAGAAUGGGAGUGAGAUCCUCAAAAGUAAACGCAGGUAUUUCCUUCUUUGAGGAGUUUUCUUACAUGCAGUAUCCUUGCCUAAGAUAAUACCAUCCUGACUGAGAAGAGCUGCUGGGGGGGUGGCUUAGCAGGAGGUGUAUGUGUUUGGCGAAGAAUUGCAUUGAUGCCAAAGGCCUCUGUGAGACAGUAAGAGUCUAAAUAACUCAUUUUUUCUGUCUGCUGUUUCCACUUUCAGCCCUCUGAUAGAUAAAUGUUACAGAAAUGAUGAGUACUCUGCAGUUCUUGUUGCUUGUAGCAUCACUGGAGAAAUUAACACGCUUUUAAACCAGGUUUUCAUUAUUGUUCUUUUCACUUCCAGUUACACCAGAACCCAUUGCCACCACUAUUACUGUACGUACCACUGCAUACACCUCUGCAGCUGUCUUCAAAGGUUCAGAAGUCAAAUGCAGGCUUGAUAAGUAAAUGUUCCACUUUUUAUUUCCUGUCUUCAAACACAGAGACUGCAGACUCGCUCUGUAAAGGAGGAGUUACAUGCAAUGUGUCUCAUGUCUUGGGGUUUUAAACGGUUGCACAGAAUUUCCAGUCUGUGCAGUAGAUAUUUAAUUCAUAGUGAUGCUUAAUGUAGAUAUGAAUCUUUAAUCUCACGGGGCUGGGAUAAAUGAUACAUUACAUUCCAGUUUGAUGAACUGGGAAUUCUGACACUAUUUCCUGUGUAUCAACAGCCAUGAAACACUCUACAUAUCACUAGCCUUUAUCUCUGGUGUCCUGGUGACUGUUCUGGUUUUUGCAGUCAUCCACCUCUUCAGAAAAAAGUAUAAGAGAUCCCACCAGACCUUACAAGAUCAAGUUCCCCUCCCAGCAGUGACUGAGGAAUCUGCUAAGAACAUCCAGAGUGAUGUUGCCUACGCCUCUCUGGUCUUCCAGCAGAGUGGGGCACCAGCAGCUGUGUGAUGAUGGAGCUUCUAGUGAAACGAAGACACCUGCACUUUCUGAACAUCGGAUGCUGCCAGAACAUUAUAUCAAGGCCUGUAGUGUGCUGGGAAAUACCAACACUGCUGUAUGUCUAACAUCAGCUCAUUUUAUAGUUACCAGGGGAAACUAAUGUCUCCUAUUCCAAACUUCUUUGUGGUUGUGGACAAAUUGCUUUUUAUACCCUAUUUCCCAAUCUCUAGAAAUCUCACUGCACUUGUAAAGUUCCCAUUUAUGUCUUUGCUGUUGCUCUGAAUGACCAAUGGAAAUGGAAACGUUACUCUCUGUCCAUUCAUGUCUGUGCCUUUGUGUUUCCCUUUUCUGUCACCGACUAUGUUUUCCUUGGCUUUUUAAUUGCCAAGUGAGUUAUUUUCUGCUUCCUGAAGUUAUGAUAACAAAAUGUUUGUAUGCAAAUAUCUGCUUCCCAGUUGGGUCAUGUAAAAAGAAAUGCACAAUCACAGUGUGACAGUC